rnacentral:rRNA from 1 species
AUUGAACGCUGGCGGCAGGCCUAACACAUGCAAGUCGAACGGUAACAGGAAGCAGCUUGCUGCUUUGCGGACGAGUGGCGGACGGGUGAGCAAUGACUGGGCAACUGCUCGAUGGAGGGGGACAACAACUGGAAACGGUAGCUAAUACCGCAUAACGCCGCAAGAUCAAAGAGGGGGAGCUCAGGGCCUCUUGCCUUCGGAUGGGCCGGAUUGGCUAGUGGGUGGGGUAGCGGCUUACCAAGGCGACGAUGCGUAGCUGGUCUGAGUGGAUGAGCAGCCACACUGGAACUGAGACACGGUCCAGACUCCUACGGGAGGCAGCAGUGGGGAAUAUUGGACAAUGGGCGCAAGCCUGAUGCAGCCAUGCCGCGUGUAUGAAGAAGGCCUUCGGGUUGUAAAGUACUUUCAGCGGGGAGGAAGGGAGUAAAGUUAAUACCUUUGCUCAUUGACGUUACCCGCAGAAGAAGCACCGGCUAACUCCGUG